CAGCCGCCACGGUAAUACGAAGGGGGCUAGCGUUGCUCGGAAUGACUGGGCGUAAAGGGCGCGUAGGCGGCGAUCAAAGUCAGGCGUGAAAUUCCUGGGCUCAACCUGGGGGCUGCGUUUGAUACUUGGUUGCUAGAGUGAGGAAGAGGGUCGUGGAAUUCCCAGUGUAGAGGUGAAAUUCGUAGAUAUUGGGAAGAACACCGGUGGCGAAGGCGGCGACCUGGUCCUUGACUGACGCUGAGGCGCGAAAGCGUGGGGAGCAAGCAGGAUUAGAUACCCGCGUAGUCCCUGUCUCUUAUAC
rnacentral:rRNA from 1 species